rnacentral:pre_miRNA from 1 species
UCUUAAGGAUGAUCAAAGAAAGUGGUUUCUUGAGAUGGAAUCUACCCCUGGUGGAGACGCUGUGAA